AUGUGAGAUCACUGGAGAAAGGCACAUUUUUAACGUGGAAUCUGCUGAAAUAGGAUGAUUUCUGAUCUCUGAUAAUUUGAAGAUCUUGACCAGGAUUCCAGGGGAUACCUUCCAGAGGGGUCUAGUUGCCUUUUCCCACCACCCCUCCAAACACUGUCUUUAUUUCUAGAGAGAGAAGUCUCUGUCUGAGAUUCAGGAAUGGCAGAAAAGAUAUUUGGUAUGGCAGUUGCUGCUAUGUAGCCCGUGAAACGGAGGAUUCUUUUUGACAACAGUGUCCCCAAAUGUCCCCUUGCAAAAUGGCUGACGUCAGAAAGUACACACCCUUCAUAAAAUGGGUCCCUCUCCUGGAAGAUUGCUUGUUGACCAGUCGACUUUGACAAGGUUUGUAUUUGCUGGCUCGUAAAUAUUUAUCCUUGGGUCAGCGUAAACAAUCUGUUUUCCAUUGUGCUGACAUUUUGGUGCAGUGAGUAAAAUAUACUGUAUUGUAACAGAGGCAUUUAAAAAAAUUGCUACCCCGUUGUUGUCUUUGAAGGGAGUAGCUGAGAUGCUAUCAGACAGGUGUGGUGGCCAGGCCAUUAUGAGUGGCUCGUCCGGUUUUCUUAAAGACUGAUUUCCACGAAUUUGGUAGGAGGGUCCAGAUAGGGAAACCCCUGUGAAACGUUAU
rnacentral:lncRNA from 1 species